GUGUGGGUGAAAUGGGCAAGCCAGGGCUGAUCUCACCUCCUGGGUGUGCCCGGCUCUGCAUGCUCAUGUGUUGGGUUGGGCUGUGGGGAUUUGCCACGGUCCCUCACUGGAACCCUGGUGAGCAGCCUCAUUCUGCUGGGGGGCAUGGAGCAGGUGACAUGAAAGAGGAUGGUCACCCUCACCUGCAUGCCCCUCGGGGAUGCUGCACCACCUGCAGUGGGAGCCUGAGCUGCCCCUGUGCUCUGCCAGCUGCCCUGCAUGGAUGCUGGGAUGCAGAAUGGGGCUGAGGCAUCACUGGAGGGAUGCCUGAUGGCUGAGGAGCUGGAGGAGAAGCAGCGCCCGGUGGCGCAGUGGACGGUGGCCGAGGCUGGCGCCUGGCUGGCGGCACGCAGCGGGGCCGGGGAGCUGGUGGAGCUGGCACAUGAGCACGAUGUCUCGGGCCGGGUCCUGCUGCGGCUGACGGAGGGGACCCUGCGGCGCAUGGGGGUGACCCCGCGGAGCCGGCGCCGGGACCUGCUGCGGGAGCUGCUGCAACUGCGGCUACAGCAGGAACUCGAGGAGCUGCUGAGCACCGUUGGCCAGUGAAGAUAAUGUCACUGUGGAUGUCCUGGAGACUGCAGGAGGACAGAUGGUGCCAUGGGAGGACAAAGCAGUACCUAGGACUGAGCACUUGAUGCAGGAGCGGUGCUGGAGGGAGCCUUGAGGUGAUUUUGUCUCCCCUGAAGAAGCCCAAAGCUGGCUGGAAGAGGUGGCCACAGGGCCCCAGGUGGCACAAGUUGAAGGGUGGCUGCUGGCUCCCAGGGCGUCCUCUUGGCUCUGGCACGAUGGGGCACUCUACCAGCCCUCCCCCCGUCUCCGAUCCUGCUGCAACCAUGAAGCAGCCUGGCCUCAGGAGUGAUCCUCCAGUCUGUCUGUGGCGUAGGGCAUAGGGGGACAAGUUCCCAAGUUGCUGUGUAGAGGAACCUGUCUCCUUGGUGCCCUGGGGCUGGCAGGAGCAGGGCAGCAGAGCGCAGAACAGAACUGGUCUCAAUAAACAUUGUCCUGGUAAGUCCA
rnacentral:lncRNA from 14 species